CUGAGUCAAAAGUUUUUUCUAUAUCUAAUGAUAUAGCCACAGUACAAAUUUUGUUCCAGGUUUGCGGUUAUGUCACUUUGAAAUUUCAGUAGAGCGUGCUGGGCGGAGUGUGCCUUGUUAAAACCAAAUUGUGUGAAAUAGGGUCUAUGGUAAAUUCUUUGUCAAUUUUCUUUUUUAGGACAUUUUCCCGAUAUUUUACAGCAGAGAAAUCGGGCGAAAAUCAGCAGGAGUUUCACUAGCUGUUUUUUCCUUAUUGGAAUUAUGUUGGCCUCCUUCCACACUGUAGGGAAAUAGUUGUUGUAUAUGAUGAUUUCUAAUCAAAUUUCCAGAAUUGGUAAAAUGGUAAUCGUCGGGAUUUUCGAGAGAGUUGAAACCGCCACUAAAUGAGUAUAUGUGGGCUGGAAUAAGGUCGAUGCAAGAUGAAACCCUUGAGAACAAAUCAUUGACUGGUCUUUCAGGGCUGGUUUCAGAAAAUGUUGCGGCAUAAAACGUUUGGAAGCUGUUUGCUAUCUCAUCUCCACUGGUGAUAAUACUGUUGUUGAGGCGUAGUUGCCUGCAAAAAGGCGACUUUCUUUUUCCAGAUGUUGAAUAAAUUUCCUUAAAUGCGGAUGGACCAGAGAGUUGGAAUUGCUUGCUGUUAUAUAACAUUUUCUGGGAAUGUGAAUCAUGGACUUUAUUUAUAGCCCUAUUAAAAUCACCAAUCAAUGAAUCUAAGUCACCAUUGGACAGAUUUCGACUUGUUGGAGGUAUCAGUUGCAGGGAUUUUACAUUUAGAUCACAACGAAAUCUAUCCCAAGGGGAAAGUGAUCGGAGAAUGUAGGAAGAGAAGAAAUCACCACAUUUUGCAAUGUGAGGUCGACUAAUUCUGUGCUGAUAAGAAAAUGGUCGAGAAAAGACAACCGAUUUGGAUAUGAUGGUGAAGCAUCACAUGUUCUUACGAGUCUAAGGAGUUCUCAUCUAACCAGUUUGCGAGGACCUUUCCAUUUGUAUUAUCCAUACUAUCUCCCCAUGAAAUACUUCUCGAGUUCAAGUCUCCACCAAGAAUGAAGCCAUCAAAGUUACUACAUAGCUGCAUCAACUUAUUAAGAUCCGAGUCUAGUCUUUGGGUGUUAUAAUUACAUGGUAUAUAUAGAGAUCCAACCAAAUAUCUCCUAUAAAUGUUAUUAUGAACUUCUUCAAUUUGUACUAACAAAGCAAAAAUACCCACAUCAUGUAAAUUAAUUCGUUGAUAUCAACUAAAGAGCGUACAUUGAAUGUAAGGAAGUUUAGGCAUCUACGGUCCAGAUCCAUAUUGGCUUUUUAAAAUAAAACAUGUUUUUAAGAUUUUAGAAAUAUCUCACAGCUGUGAUAUCAAGCCUUUGACAU